CCUACGGGAGGCAGCAGUGGGGGAUAUUGCACAAUGGGGGGAACCCUGAUGCAGCGACGCCGCGUGGGUGAAGAAGCGCCUCGGCGCGUAAAGCCCUGUCAGCAGGGAAGAAAAUGACGGUACCUGAAGAAGAAGCCCCGGCUAACUACGUGCCCGCAGCCGCGGUAAUACGUAGGUGGCAAGCGUGAUCCGGAUUUACUGGGUGGAAAGGGGGCGCAGACGGCGAUGCAAGCCAGGAGUGAAAGGCCGGGGCCCAACCCCGGGACUGCUCUUGGAACUGCGUGGCGGGAGUGCAGGAGGGGCAGGCGGAAUUCCUGGUGUAGCGGGGAAAGGCGUAGAUAUCAGGAGGAACACCGGUGGCGAAGGCGGACGGCUGGACUGCAACUGACGUUGAGGCCCGAAAGCGUGGGGAGCAAACAGGAUUAGAUACCCCAGUAGGC
rnacentral:rRNA from 1 species